GACAGGAAGAGGAAUGGAAAAGGACAGAGGGCUGCCACCACCUGACCUCUACUUCAUCUCAGAGCGAACCUGUGGAACUCCAUAAGGCAGGUCGAUUCUCGAACCAUUCCUACCAAGUGCUAUGGGGACAGAGAGGGCGUCUCAGAUCAUUUGUGACAUUGUCAGAAGUAACCCCUCCCCACUAUCACUCCACUGUCUUGUGUUUUCAUUGACGCUUGCUUUAGUCACUUGCUUGCAAGUGUGUGACUAUGUCACCCAGAACAGGGAUUCUUCUGCCUGACUCGCAACAGGAUCGGAAGGGAUAUGAAUCCUAGGGGCCAUAAGGAGGGUGUGUGUGUGUGUGUGUGGAGGUGCGACGAUGUCGAUGUCUCCACUCGGCUUCUCUUUCCUCGCCCUCACAGGUGGCAAUCCAAGCAAGGGCACAUAGGGCCAGUUGCAUCUGCGCAGGAUCCGGAACCCCACUGCCAACCGCUCGCGCCAAG
rnacentral:lncRNA from 1 species